AACGAACGCUGGCGGCAUGCCUAACACAUGCCAGUCGAACGAGACCUUCGGGUCUAGUGGCGCACGGGUGCGUAACGCGUGGGAACCUGCCCUUAGGUUCGGAAUAACUCCCCGAAAGGGGUGCUAAUACCGGAUAAUGUCUUCGGACCAAAGAUUUAUCGCCUUUGGAUGGGCCCGCGUUGGAUCAGCUAGUUGGUAGGGUAAAAGCCUACCAAGGCGACGAUCCAUAGCUGGUCUGAGAGGAUGAUCAGCCACACUGGGACUGAGACACGGCCCAGACUCCUACGGGAGGCAGCAGUGGGGAAUAUUGGACAAUGGGCGAAAGCCUGAUCCAGCAAUGCCGCGUGAGUGAUGAAGGCCUUAGGGUUGUAAAGCUCUUUUACCCGGGAUGAUAAUGACAGUACCGGGAGAAUAAGCUCCGGCUAACUCCGUG
rnacentral:rRNA from 1 species